AUUCAAAUAGUUAAAAAUAGAAUAUAGUUUUGAAGCAACUAAGGUAAUGAAAAUUUUUGGAUA
rnacentral:tRNA from 1 species